GUCGUAACAAGGUAGCCGUAGGGGAACCUGCGGCUGGAUCACCUCCUUUCUAAGGAUUUGGGUGAAAGCGUCGUUCUUUUUGAGCGAAAGAGCUUCACACAAUUCUCAGAACAUGGCCGUCGUCCUCAUGUCCCUUCAUCUUCUGGAAAAUGCAGCGAGCCUGAAAGCUUGUUGUAUGUCUGAGCUGGCUUAUUUGCCGUCUGCGGCCGCAAGGCCGGUUUGGCGCGAGGAUGGGCCGGUAGCUCAGGUGGUUAGAGCGCACGCCUGAUAAGCGUGAGGUCGCAAGUUCAACUCUUGCUCGGCCCACCAUUCUUGUUUGGUGCGGGGCCUUAGCUCAGCUGGGAGAGCACCUGCUUUGCAAGCAGGGGGUCAUCGGUUCGAUCCCGAUAGGCUCCACCAGCAAGAUCCGGAAGAUGAGGAAAAAGGUUUCUGCCGCGAGGCGGGAAGCAGGCCUUGUGUCUGCAAGCGGUUCUUUGACAUUGUGAAUGGGUUUUUUGAUCGAUGCCGUGGCGCAUGGGUUAUCCAGACGAUGGGUAUCCAAUCAUGCGUUACAACAGAUGCAAGUAAUCUGGCUGAGAUUAUCGCCCGCGCCUAUAACAAUGCAGGCUUUAUGCAGGCCUGAUAUUGAUGGUGUGGGUUCUCAAGCGUGAGGUAAGAGCAUUUGGUGGAUGCCUUGGC
rnacentral:misc_RNA from 1 species